AACGUAGGACACAAGCGUUAUCCGGAGUUACUGGGCGUAAAGGGCGUGUAGGCGGAUCGGUAAGUCUACUCUGAAAGCUCCUGGCUAAACUGGGAGAGGCGAGUGGAGACUGUCGGUCUAGAGUGAGGAAGAGGAAAGUGGAAUUCCGCGUGUAGUGGUGGAAUGCGUAGAGAUGCGGAGGAACACCAGUGGCGAAAGCGGCUUUCUGGUCCUUAACUGACGCUGAGGCGCGAAAGCGUGGGUAGCAAACAGG
rnacentral:rRNA from 1 species